rnacentral:rRNA from 1 species
GCAAGGUUAAACUCAAAUGAAUUGACGGGGGCCCGCACAAGCGGUGGAGCAUGUGGAUUAAUUCGAUGAAAUGCGAAGAACCUUACCUGGUGUUGACAUCCACAGAAAUUUCCAGAGAUGGAUUGGUGCCUUCGGGAGCUGUGAGACAGGUGCUGCAUGGCUGUCGUCAGCUCGUGUUGUGAAAUGUUGGGUUAAGUCCCGCAACGAGCGCAACCCUUAUCCUUUGUUGCCAGCGGUUAGGCCGGGAACUCAAAGGAGACUGCCAGUGAUAAACUGGAGGAAGGUGGGGAUGACGUCAAGUCAUCAUGGCCCUUACGACCAGGGCUACACACGUGCUACAAUGGCGCAUACAAAGAGAAGCGACCUCGCGAGAGCAAGCGGACCUCAUAAAGUGCGUAGUAGUCCGGAUUGGAGUCUGCAACUCGACUCCACGAAGUCGGAAUCGCUAGUAAUGGUAGAUCAGAAUGGUACGGUGAAUACGUUCCCGGGCCUUGUACACACCGCCCGUCACACCAUGGGAGUGGGUUGCAAAAGAAGUAGGUAGCUUAACCUUCGGGAGGGCGCUUACCA